AAUAAAUAAAUAAUGAAAGAAAGAAAGAGGGAGCGAUGACGGAACCGUAACAUAUCAGAAAAAAUGAAGAGAGAAAAAAAAGAGAGAAAAGAUGAAAAAGAAGAGAGAAAAAAAAAAAACAAGAGAGAACACACUAACUCCAUUGCAUGUCCUUCUCAAGCUCCCUCAUUUCAUCAUCUCAUCGUAGAAACACCCUCACACCUAUAUUAGAGUAAAAGAGGACCAAGAGGUAGAGUGAAAUGAGAAAUUAUGAGAAAGAAGAAAAGGAAAGUUAAGGUUUCAAUAUAGGAGAAAAAGUUUAGAAUUUUCUGCAUGUUAAGAAGGAAGAUGGAAACGUGAAGAGCAGUUAAAGUUUCACUUGUAGAAGAAGGAAUUAGAAUCAAACUUUGGAGGUCUCCAAUCUAUUCUUAAGGUAAACAUUGAAAGUCUGAGGAGUAUCCAGAUUUGUUCACCAGUCCUUCAAUGUCAUGAGUCAGAACCGGAUCACGUCUUGAGUCUAGAUUAGAGUCAUAGUUUAAUUAAGUCUCACUUAAAAGUUGUUUUAAAUUUGUAAGUAUUUAGAUAUUUAUGAAUUAAAAAUUCCAAUUUUAUUUCCAUUGUGUA